CCCAGAUUUUGCAAGGUUCUUACUUUGUGUAAUUAGCCCCAGGGAAAUGUGUUAUGUUCUAAUGAAUGUUGCACUUUAAAUAUGUGUAUAUUUGGGCCCUGGGGUGGAGCACCUGGAGAGUAGGGUGGGCCAGUGCUCCACUCCACAUUUUGGAAGUUGCUUGGUGAGAAGUCCAGUUCUGGAGUUUGAAUCCUAAUCUAACUCACCUGAAAAGGUUUGUCAAUUACCAGUGCUAUUAAGUACUCCCCUGCCAAGGAAGAAGGGAGAUUGUGUUUGGUUUCUGUGAGUGGAAACAGAGAGCUGAAAACCCUGAAGCAGUAAGGCUGUUUAUGUUUAUGUUUAUGUUGGGAAAUGGACAAGCCAUCCAACCCAGUUAGCUGAUUAUUUUGUUUAGUUAGUGCUCAGAAGAGCAAGGCUUUUGUUUGAUAUAUUUUUGUUACCUUUAUACCUUACUGUGCAUUUAUUUUGG